UUUUUUUUUUUUUUUUUUUUUUUUUUGAGGCAAGAGUCUUGCUCUUAUCACCCAGGCUGGAGUGCAAUGGCACAAUCUUGGCUCACUGCAACUUCUGCCUCCCACGUUCAAGUGAUUCUCCUGCCUCAGCCUCCCGAGUAGCUGGGAUUACAGGUGCCCACCACCACGCCCGGCUGAUUUUUGCAUUUUUAGUAGAGAAGAGGUUUCGCCAUGUUGGCCAGGCUGGUCUUGAACUCCUGACCUCGUGAUCUGCCCACCUCAGCCUCACAAAGUGCUGGGAUUACAGACAUGAACCACUGCGCCUGGCCCGUCUCUCAUCUUAAUGCCUUUAAGCUCUUUACAAUCGUUUGAGGGAAAAAGUUAUCUUCACACUUCCUCCAGUAAUAAAGGGAAAGCUGCAUAGGAUGGUGGUGGUGACUGGCCAACUCCAGGUCCCAGAAAAUCUGGAAGGCUGGAGAUUCCAGUGAGUGGGAACUCGAGAAGGAUAGAUUUGGAGUGGGCUAUAAGGGGAGGCCUGUCCCAGCAGGGCAGGCCCCUUGGUUAGUGACACAUGUGAGUUUCAUUCUACUAUUAAGAACAAACAGCUUUCCCUCUACUCAUCCAUUUCUCCUGGACAGCAUCAGUCCCCAUCCGGAAUAACCUUUCUAGGAAGGGUGAUAAGAGCUACCACAUCUUAGUGCAUCUUAGGUGCUGGGCAGUUUACAAUAACAAUCUCAUUUAUCCUCCCAGCAACUUGGAGUUUUUGAAUAAAGCAAACGGACUCAGAGAGGUAGAAUACCGUUGAAGGUCAUAACUAUUAAGUGGCAGAAUCAGGAUAGGAACUUGUAUGUGUCUGGCUCCAACCCCACGUUAACUACUGCCCUCAACUCACUAUGAACUCCAUCCUCCCUCCAAUGGGCCCCCUCUGCUUUCCAGUCCUGAGCCAACUCCUGGGGGUGAUCUUGGGAAGACAGCUCACCCACAUCAAGAGCCUGGGGUUUGAUGAUAAUUGAAUAUAUCUUCAUCUUUCUACCAUUCCAUCCUUACAGAGUAGAUCGCAGGGGGUCCUCUUAGACUCAAGUCUGUCCUCUGGGGACUGGUACUGUCUUGGAUUGAAAUUGGUACUUUGAUGUGUUGGGUAAGAAGAUUAAUAGAGACAAAUGUCUUCCAUGUUGGUAUACGAUUAGCCAAGUGAUUUCCAUUUUCCUAUCACCCAUCAGCUCUGGGUUACAGGGAAACAUCUCCUACCUCGUUAGGGUUUUCCCCAGAAUCCUCAUCAGAAAACGUACCCACUUUUCACCAGGGAAAGAGGUGAAAAGAAUAUGUGUUGGAUGGACCACUGUGAUUCACGGAAAAGAGGUGUUAUAAACAAGCCUCGUGUGUUUAUUGCCUGGGCAAGAACAAAAAAUAGUCUUUAUUGGAAACAUGUAUUUGAUGGCAUCUGGAUCCAUUUAGUAAGCAUAUUUAUUUCAUAACAAUAUGAGCUCAUGAUGCCAGGAUGAUUAAUGAGCUUUUAUAUUCUACCACUCUUUUUGCCUAAAUCUGCAAGUCUGUUAGGGAGUUUAAUUACCUAAGAUGGGGCAAAUACACAUUUUGGUUACUUUUUGUUGGAAGGAAUCUCUUACUUGGAAUUUAUUUUACCAUAGACGAGGUUGGAGAACAUUGGAAACUCCUUUAGGCAUCUUCAAAACCAGCAGCACCUGAAUUCUCUGAAAAUAAUUUCAAAGUUCUUAGGUAAUGUUCUUGUGUUUCCCCUGGGGGAAAUACCGACCGAAUCUUCCGAUUGGGGAAAAACAAGAAAGGAGGAAAAGAAUUUGGGCUAAAAUUUUAAUAAGACUGAAAAUUUUACUACCAAACAUAUUUUUAAAUAGGCAGGAUGAUACCAUAUAUUAUGACUACAUUGGAAUAGAGAUGCUAUUCUCUCCAUGGCAAACUUCAGAAUAAAUUAUGUCUCUCUUAAACUCCAAGCAGAAGCCCCAGAGAAACUAAACAGUUUGAACAGUGUCAUGGCACUGUCCAACCUCUGAAAGGAGCACAAGACUCCUUCUUCUUUCCCCUUCACUCCUCACCUGGUGAGGAGCAGCACAGACAGCCCUGAGCAAAGGCCCAGCUGGUCACAGCCAGAUGGGCCAGAGCUUGUGCCAUGUUUCAUGCAGUGGAGAGAGUUCCUGACCUUUGCAUGGUGCAGCCCUUUCAAUAUGCCUCCCAGAGCAAGCUCACCUCCUGGUGGUAUCUGGGAUGAGAUGUCCAACACUGCUAGAGGCAUCUCACCCAUAAAAAGGCCAAGAAUAAGCAGCUCCAGCCAGUUCUGCCCAUUAGCUCUUAGUGCUCUAUCUUGGAGACGUGUCCUUCUCGACUUCUUGCCCUCUGAUCCUGAAGGUCAUAGCCAGAGUGGACCAGAGAAAAGCAACCAAAGAGGCCUGCUUUGGGCUAGGCAAAGGGGUCCUUGUGACCCAAAGUGGAGCAGCCCAAGGUUCCUAGUGUGAGGAACUCCUGGGAGGGGUCUGGAGACACAAGGGCCAGCCAGUGUUAAAGGGUCUAUAUUUGUCUGGUGGUGUUCCUGAGGUAACCAUGCCAGAGUCACUACAAUAGGCUAUGACUAAUCCAGCGCACCAGGAAACUAUCCUUCCAAGGACCCAAGAUGCCAGCAUAAGGCCCAGUUUAUAAGGAGGUACCACCUAGAGAGGGCACUGAAUGCAAGACUUCUGUGAAUGGUAUCAAUAGUAAGCUGGGAAAACUGGAAAGAGAAGAUUCUGGAAGAGAACACAUUCAAGACCCAAAUAUCAACUUCUGUCAGGCCCACAGCCCUGGCUUUUCCUCCAAAAACAAAAAGAAACAAGCAGAAAUCUCAUCCUCAAUGUACUGCUUUCUCCAUAGAACUGGCUUGUCUGAGUUCCACAUAACACAUUAUUCUUUGCAACGUUAGAGGCCAUUUGUCAUUUGCCUUCCCAUUCCCUCUUUAGCCAAAGCAGACAACACUGUCUGCCAGAGAUCUGUAAAAAACUUAGCCCAUGCUGACUGCCCCCCUCCUGACCAGGCAGCUCUUUAUUCUGAGUGUAUGUGGGCCCUACCUGAAGUGUUAGCCACUGUCCUGGAUGAAGCAGGCAAAUGCGCGGCGCCCAGAGCUAGUGAUGCCUGAGUGUCUGUGCACAGUCAUUCUGUGCUGGCUGCCAGAAUCACUUGGGGAGUUUGUAUAAACACAGUUUCCAGUGUUUUGCCUUGAGUCUCCUCCUGGGUAGGAAAGCUUAUCCUCCUGGGUAGGAAAGCUUAUCCUCCUGGGUAGGAAAGCAUGGUGAGGAGCUAUGUGAUGCACACAACUCAUACAUGCAGACCUCGUAUCGGGUGGGCAGGCCUGAGGCUGCAUGCAGCCUUCUCCACAUGCAGGCUGCCAUUUCUAGGGACCAAACCAAGAACUCGCAGGGAAGUAUGUAGAUGACUGCAAGACCCUCCUGGGCCCUCUGCAUAAUGUUGAGUGGCAGGGGGUUGUAGGGCUAAAUGAGGCGGCGGCAGGUGCAGCAUCUUGGGGGCCAUGGUGUUGGAAGAAGGGGGAAGGUGUGUACCAUUCAGUUCUCCAGCUGAUAAUCUCUAUCAGCUGAAGCAGGGUGACAGAUCAUGACAUGCCACUGCCCCACCAGCCAAGCGGACUUCCUGCUGGCCCCAGGAAGAGAAGCACCCACUGGGCUAAGCAUGGGCAGGAGCAUGUUUGGAUACAGAUCCAAAAAUCUGCAUUGCCUGCUUCCCUUGCUCACUGCCCCCAGCACCCCACCCCCACUCCCACCCAACAAAACCAUUCCACUUGGAAAAAUCAAAGUAAGUGGAUGUGAGGAGGUUCUUUUGCAGCUGGUGUGGCCACAUCUCAUGCAUCAAGGCAGAAAUGGGGCCGGCUCUGAGCAGCAACCCAGAGCCUCCCUGUGGGAUGGGACCUGCUGCUGCUCUGCUGUGUCCCUGAUUCAGCCAUUUCCAGCUGUGUGUUCUGGCUCAGUGCCUGCAUCAGCCCCUUUGGUUCUGGUGAUCUCCUGGCCUUCCCUGGUGGGCUUAUCAGACCUGGUCUUCUCUAUUUGGGUCUCAGCCUUGCUCUGCCUACCCCUACCCUUCCGCCACCUCUGGUGUGCUCUCCAACCUGGGAUGAGAAGCUGUCUGUCUAGCCCCAAGCCCAUGGAAUCUGAUCAAACAAGGAUGGAAAACGCUGCCAGGGAAAGGAGACUCACAACGACACUUGGCAGCUCACCUCUUACAUGUGGAAUGCGUUUCUGGGUUUGAGCAUGCUACUUCAAACCUCAGUCUCUAGAAAUAGAUCCCAAAAUAAACCAACCCUAAGCUUGCUCCCACAGGCAGACCUAGUCUGACCAAAAAAUCAGAAGGCCCUGAAGUUGCUGUGGUGGACCAGUGUGGGCAUCAGGCAGUGGAGUUCAGUCCCCCAGGAGCCCCCCACACUAAAGGGCUCGCUCAAAAGGCAUCCCAUCUAACAUCAUGCACUGCAAAGACUGAGUGAUGCUUCCUCUGCUCCCUACAAGUUCCACUGGCCAGAAGAGAGGAUAUCUCCCUUGAGGUAUCCAGGCAGGAUAUAAGUAUAACUAAGCACACACUCAACUUCGAAACUCUGCAUUGUAACUCAAAUCUCAUAUUACCGGAGGAGGUCUCCAGGUAGCCCAGAGAAAAUUAUUUUUUAAAAAUAAAUUAUUUCUCAAAAGAAAACAGAAGCAUCAAUUUACGUUCAUCUGGAGAAAGGACAGCCCAGAACAGCUAGGAGAAUCUUGGAAAAGGCAGAGUACUAGAGGGGAACUAGGCCUUGCAGAUAUUAACACAUAUUACAGAAGAGAUCUCAUUUUUUACCCAAUAGAACAGCAAAGAUGGAAAGAAUGAUUAUCCCCAACACACAACGGUAUAUGUUCAAAGAUAGUCACAUUGUUUUAAAUAGCAAUAUGCUAAUAAAAUAAUAAAAUAUAUUAUGAUAAAUAUAAAUGAGAUACUUGGAGCCGUGAAAAAUCACGGAAAAAUCAUGUGAAAAAUUAUGUGAAAAAUCAGGUCUUUGUUGGCCUAAAAGCUGUUUACAACAUAUUGUUAAAUGCAGAAGGACAGAUUAAGCAACAUUAUAUACAUAGGUUUUGUUAAAAAAUUAAAUAAUGUGUAGAACAAAAUAUUAAUGGAAGUUAUUUCUGAGUGGUGAAACUGGAGCUGAUUUUUUUCUCUUGCUUUUAGUCUCUAUUUCUGCUGAACAACAAACAACAACAGAAAAACCCUCCAACCUGUAAUGAAAGAAAAAUUUUAGGCAAUUAGAAAAUAAUCUUAGGGCAGAGAAAUUUCCCUUGUCCUGCAGCAAAGGCCCAGAUUAUUUUAAAUAAAACAGGACCUGUCCAGACAACACCUACUUUAGCAAAUUCUUGUGUCCUAAAAGAAAAUUAUCUAAUUAAACCCAUAUUCCUUUGGACAACGAUAAAAUCUCAGCAAAAAGAUUCCCCUGGCUGUGAUUUCAGAAGCUGGGAGUUGGUUCCUCAGGAAGAGGUUUAUCAAAGUCACUUUGAUGCUCUAUUAGAACUUGCCAGCACAAUGCAUUUAUUUAUCUUGCUUGUAAUUUCUUAAUCUGGAACUUAAUCGAGUUCUCAUAUAGUGUUCUCCUGCCAGACAUUUCACUGAGAGUUUAAACUAGACAAUGCAAUCAAAAAGAACACAUUAUACAUUCUAGAUUUUUACUAUAGUUUUUACUCUUAUACUACAGCAUCUUCAUGGAUAAUUUUGAGGGGGAUUGAUAAGAGUUUAAAAAGCUGAACCCUGCCUAGAAUAUGUGCUGAGGAAUUUAGUGAGAAAAGUGAUGAGAAACUUCUAUAAAUACAGCAUUUGAUCCAAAAACAUCAACCAAGCCAAUCCUUCACAAUCAGCAAUCAAACUAUCUCAAGUUCCCAGCUGUCCCUAUGUGGCUUUGAAAGCCCCUGAACGUUAAGAAAACCUAACCAGAAGAGAAACUACUAUUUUCCAGAACUCCUUCCAAGGAGGGCUCUGUAAAUGGUUGCAAGUCCUCUGAUAAGGGGGCCUUUGGUCAUGACAACCACAGAGGUAUGCCUGAGUGACAGGAGAGGUUCAUCAAAAUGCCUUCUGCUUUCUUCCCCUUAAACACAUUAUUUUUUUGUUUCUUGGUGAAGGGGUGUGGUUGCUAAACUGUUCUUUUUUAAAAAACUAAUUUUAUAUUUAAAUUUAUUUUAUUUUUUUAAGAGACAAGGUCUUGCUCUGUUGCCACACUGGAGUCAGUGGCGCAGUCAUAGCUUACUGCAGUCUCAAAACCCUGAGCUCAAGCAGUUCUCCCACCUCAGCCUCCUGGGUCACUGGGACCACAGAUGCCUGCCACCACCCAUGGCUAAUAUAUAUAUAUAUAUAUAUAUAUAUUUUUUUUUUUUUUUUUGGUAGAGACAGGGUCUCAUUAUGAUGCCCAGGCUGUUCUGAAACUCCUGGCCUCAAACAAUCCUGCCUGGGCCUCCCAAAUUGCUGGGAUUACAAGUGUGAGCUAUCACGUCCAGCCCAAUGUUAUUUUUAAUUGACAAAUAAGAAAUGUAUGAAUUUUAUGGGGUACAAUAUGUGUUAUGGCACAUGUAUACAUUGCAAAAUGAUUAAAUCAGGCAAAUUAACAUACCCAUCACCUAAGAUACUUAUCAUUUCUUAGUGAUAAGGACAAUUGAAGUCUACUCUUUUAGUAAUUUUGAAAUAUAUGUUAUUAACUGUAGUCAUGAUGCUGUGCAAUAGAUCACUAGAACUUAUUCCUUCUAACUGAAACUUUGUACCCUUUGACUAACAGCUCCCUCUUCCCCAUUAUAGCCACCAUUCUACUCUCUGCUUCUAUGAACUGAACUCUUUAGAUUUCACAUACAAGUGAGAUAAUGCAGUAUUUGUCUUCUUCUGCCUGGCUUAUUUCACUUAGCAUAAAGUCCUCUACAUUCACGCAUGCUGUCACAAAGCACAUUGUUUUUCUUUUGCUCAAUGCAGCCUGCAAGUUUCAGAGCAGAGGUGAAAUACCCAGAACAGAGGAGUGGCUGCCUCCAGUGGUCUUCCUUUCUCCCCUUUCUCCUAGCACAGCUUCUUCUCUAAACAGUGUAAAUAGUUGAAUAUCGAAGCAUCCACAAUUCUUAACUUGCUGCUAUGAAGAAACCAAGAAUUUUAAACUAAAACUGCAAAUGGCUUAAGUUUUAAAACUUCAAAAUAUAUUAAAACAUUUAGAUGAGUACCAUCAACAGUCAUGUUACCUCAUUCCCGCCUCUUUUAAUGGUCAUUCUGCUAUGUGGUUAUUGUUCCUCCUGUCCAACUCAGUAAGAUAAAGGCGACUCAGACUAGAGACUCAUGAAAUAACAGGGCAGAACCUGAGAUCACCAGGCAGGUGCUGAGGGUGUACCAGGGACUCAACAACAAAGGUUCUGCUUCUCCAGCCAUUGAGGUGAUUGAAAUAAAAGGUCAGCACUGGGCUGUGUGCACGGCUCACGCCUGUAAUCCUGGCACUUUGGGAGGCCGAGGCCGGUGGAUUGCCCAAGCUCAGGAGUUCGAGACCAGCCUGGGCAACAGAGUAAAACCCCGUCUCUACUAAAAUACAAAAAAUUAGCCGGGUGUGGCGGCGUGUGCCUGUAGUCCCAGCUACUCAGGAGGCUGAGGCAGGAGAAUUGCUUGAACCCAGGAGGCAGAGAUUGCAGUGAGCCGAGAUCGCACCACUGCACUCGAGCCUGAGCAACAGAGCAAGACUCUGCCUCAAAAAAAAAAAAAAAAAAAAAAGUCAGCACAUAUCCAGGGGUCAGUCUCAGUCUCACAGAAGGAGGGAAAUAUCUAAGGGGGGGACUAGAAGAGAAGAAAUAAAGCCUCAUCUGGUGGAAAAAGAAUAGAGACACCAGAUAUGUAUAGCUAAUUUUACAGUAUACAUAGCUGAUACCCCGGUCUAGUAGCAAAAUAACAGUGGGAUGGCUGGUUAAUAACAGAAGGAGGCCUUUAAAAAGAAGAACAAAGUUGGAAGACUUACAUUUCCUGAUAUAAAAUGUGCUACAAAGCUACAGUAAUGAAGACAGUGUGGUGUUAUUGUAAGGUCAGACAUAUAGAUUAAUGAAAUAGAAUUGAGAGUCCAGAGAAAUCCUUGUAUCUAUGAUCAGUUGAUUUUGGAUAAAGGUACCAAGACCAUUCAAAGGGACAUAGUCCCUUCAACAAAUCAUGCUGGGACAACUGAAUAGCCCCUCCAAAAAAUGAAGUUAGAACCCUACCUUACACCAUAUACAAAAAUUAACUCAAAAUGAAUCAAAGACCUAAAUUUAAGUGCUAAAAUUAUAAAACUCUUAGAAGAAAACACAAGGGUAAAUCUUUACAUCCUUAGAUUUGGGCAAUGAAUUCUUAGAUACGACACCAAAAAUAUGAGCAACGAAAGGAAAAAAACAGAUAAACCAUCAAAAUAAAAAUUUUUGUGCAUCAAAGGACUAUCAAGAAAGUGAAAAGACAAAUGGCAGAAUGGGAAAAUGUUUGCAAAUUAUAUAUCUGAUAAGGUUCCAGUAUCCAGAACACACAAAAAAACUCUCAAAACUGAACAACAAAAAGACAUACAACCCAAUUUAAAAAUAGGCAAAAGAGCAGGGUGCAGUCGUGUGCAGCUGUAGUCCCAGCUACUUGAGAGGCUGAGGUGGAAGGAUUGCUUAAGUCCAGAAGGUGGAAUCCAGCCUGGGCAACAUAGUGAGACCACCCUACUGUCUUUAAAAAGGAGGAGGAAAAGGCCGAGCGUGGUAGCUCACGUCUGUAAUCCCAGCACUUUGGGAGGCCAAGGCAGGCGGAUCACAAGGUCAGGAGUUCAAGACCAGCCUGACCAACAUGGUGAAACCCUGUCUCUACUAAGAAUACAAAAAUUAGCCAGGCAUGGGGGCACGUGCCUGUAAUCCCAGCUACUCAGGAGGCUGGGGCAGGAGAAUCACUUGAACCUGGGAGGCAGAGGUUGCAGUGAGCUGAGAUUGCGCCACUGCACUCCAGUCUGGGUUACAGAGCGAGAUUCCGUCUCAGAAACAAACAAACAAACAAACAAACAAACAAAAAAAAGAAGAGGAGAGCAAAGGACUUGAAUAAAUAUUUUUCUGCAAAUAAGAUAUAUGAAUGGCCAAUAAGCACACAAAAACAUGAAAAGAAGCUCAACAUCAUUAGCCAUUCAAGAAAUGCAAAUCAGAACCACAAUGAAUACCACUUCACACCCACUACUAGGAUGGAUAUAAUUAAAAAAAAAUAAAUAACAAGGAUGUGAAGGAAAUGGGUUAAUAUUAUGCUAUGUGAAUUUCACCUCAUUAAAAACAAUAGAAGACAUAUAAAUGGGCAAUAAGCUCAUGAAAAGAUGUAUAAUAAUGGAAGCAGGGAUGGGGCAGAAACAGCCAAAAGAAAGAAAAGAGCACUGAGGUCCAUUACAGUAGCAUUUCACAGGUUAUCUCAUUUAAUCCUUUCAAGAGACUUCAUGAUGUCGAUGUUAUUAAUCUCAUUUUGCAGAUGAGAAAACAGAGGCUCGGAGCAAUUAAAAAUCUAGUUAUAGCUAAUAAAUGGCAGGGUCGGGAUGAGGCUUCUCAACAAGUUACCAAAAUGACUGCAACCAAGAUUAUAACUUAAAGGAAUACGACGUUUUCAGAUGCACUGAAAACUGGACCCUUGAUUUUAUGGCACUUUUACAAUGUGAUAACACAUAAAAACCUGUGAUAAAAUUUUAUGUCCAUGAAGCCAGGGACACAAAGCCUUGGCCAGUGUGGAGGAUAAUGCAGGACAGGUGCUGCGCAGAGUUAUGCACGCUGCUUGGCCAACUCCCUCAGCCCUGCUCUGCGUACUGAUUCUCUGAUCCAAAGACAAACACCCAGAGAGACUUGGCAGGAAGGUGCGUCUUGCCCGAGAGGCACAGACUAAUAGAGACAACAGGCCUUAGGGAGGCUUCAGAGGUCAUCCGGUCUUAGUGGGCCGAAACACAUAUCCACGAACCAGAUGUAUCUGAAUUACCUGGGGAGCUCAUAAAAUGCAGAUUCCUGGGCCCCAUGCCAGACCUCAGGUGGGUAGGGCACAGAAAUGACAAUUUUUAAAAAGCUCUCCAGAGGGUAACCCUUAUCUAUUGUUGAUGGGAAUGUAAAAUGGUACAGACACUUUGGGAAACAGUUUGGCUAUUUCCUGAAAAGUUACACAUAAGAGUUACCAUUUGACCCAGUAAUUCCACUUCUAGGUAUAUACGCAAGAGAAAUGAAAACAUACGCCCUCACAAAAAUGUGUCCAUGAAUGUUCUAAGCAGCAUCAUUCAUGACUCAUCAACUGGAUCAAAUAUCCAUCAACUGAUAAGUAGAUAAAUAACAUGUGACAUAUCAUACAAUUGCCAUAUUAUUGAGCAAUAGAAAGGAAUAGGCUAUCAAUACAUGCUACAGUAUUAAUGAACCUCAAGUAUGUUAUAUUAAGUAACAGAAGCCAGAUGCAAGAGACCACACAGUGCAUGAUUCUAUUUAUGUGAAACAUCCAGAAAAGGUAAAUCUACAGGGGCAGAAAGUACAUAGCUUACUUGUUGCCUAGGGCAGGGAGUGGGAGUGGAUGGGGAUAUUACUGACAUGAUAAAAAUGUUCUAAUACUGAUUUAUGCUGAUAGUUGCACAACUUGGUAAACUUACUAAAACUCAUUGAUUGUAAAAUGUGACUCAAUAGAGCUGGCUUUUUUUUUUUAAAGAAAAUGUCCCCAGGUGAUUCUGACGUUCCAGCAGAUUUGAGAACCACUGAAUUCCAAUAUACUUACUGUGCAAUGAGGAACCUGAAACCCAGAGAGGGAAAUGAUUCACCCAGAGUCACAAAGUGAGUUCAUACAGAGCCAGAUUGCCUCUGAUCUGUGUCUCCACAAAAGGAAAUGGAACGCUAGGAGAUGACCUGAUGAAAUUAACCAAAGGGGACUGCCAAUCUCAAUGAGUCAGUCCCCAUUAAACCCUUUUCCCCCUUAACUCGCAGGAAGCUGGUUUGUUUUGCCUGACUGAACCAGGAAAGGGGCUCAGGAAGCAGCUGUAGGCCAGUGAAAGGACUACAGGCUUGGAGUCAGAAGGCCUGGGUUCAAACUUGGCCUUGAGAGUUCAUCGUGAUCCUGGGCCAGUCACUUCACUUCCUAGGGACUCAUCUGGUUCAUCCAUCUGUAAACAAAGCCGAUCAUAUCACCCUCCCAGGAUCACUGCAGGACCAGUAAGGAAGAUAUUGAGUAAUCCAGCUGUGAGAACUGCAGACUGAGAACAAUAAGUAUUUUUAAAAUAACAACCUUCCGAGUGACCACCGACGCAUCAAAUACUGGAUUGGGCGUGGUGUUAUUAUAAGACCAAGAGAAUGUAAAACAUCCUGUAACAUAUCUUAGUAGAAGAUCUUUGCCAAGGGAAAGAAAUCUGUCUUCUAUCUAAGAGGAAUGUUUGGUAAUCGUUUGGGCCUUGGAUAAACUCAGGCCAUACGUCUUGGGCCAGGCAUUUACAUUAUGGACUAAUCAUAGAGCCCUGCAGUGAAUAUAGACAUUGUGGAGUAAGAGUAGGUUACCGAGAUGGUCAUGGCAGCUUUGACACUCACAGAGACAUGCAGCCUGUGUCCGGAUGGGGAACAUUCAGGCCAAGACCCUUUCUUAAAAGGAAAAAUGUGAACGCUGGUAUCCCCUGAACGGACCCCAUCUAAGUGGAUCCUGAACUCCCAGCCUGUGCCAUCAGAUAAGAAUGUCAACAUGGCAGAGGGCGAAGGUAAGAAGGGACCCGUCCAACUCAGCCUGCUUGGGUCACAUUUUGUUUGCUUUAUCAGGUCCAAGAGAAAUCUGACUUCUUUGAGGGACCUGUGGGUGUCAUUCACAGGGACUCCUGGUAACUGAGCUAGACAGUGAAAAACAGGCAUUCUCUGUAAAAGGGCACUUGGGACUGACAAGAAGACAGAAGAAACAGAAGCUCGCCACUCAUGACAGCAGCACAGGCGUAGGCUUGGAGAAAGAAAGAUGAACUUGAGAGCCUUUGGUUCAGAGAGGUGUUACAGACUUGCUGAAAAUGUAACUCCAAGCAGCAGCAGAAGAUAAAUGAGAACAGAAGGAGCUAGAAGGGAAAUGGACUAAAGCAGGAAAAAUACAAAGAAAAGCAAAGGCUAGGAGAUCAAACAUCUAAAACAAUACUAGCAAACACAUAGCACAUGUACUGCAAGUGCCCUGCCCCAGGAUUCACGGUGGUCUCACACCCUUCAGGGACCCCCCAGGCAGCCACUGGGAGGGACUGUUUCAUGUGCACCUCCCAGGCCUGAAGCAAAAGCCUAGACUUUCCACUUCCAGUUAAACAUGGAAGAGUGACCAUCUUACACCUCCUCUCCCUUCCAAAACCCUACUAAAUUUCCUACUGUUAGGGAAUUUUAAAACGUUUUAACCUAUGAGGACAAAGCAAAAAGAGAGGAGAUAUCCACAAAUAAAGAUUUCAGCAAACUUGGAGAAAAGUAGAGGAAAGCGUUGUAAUUGAGUGUAAGUUGCAAACAUUCAUAUCCACUGUGGAGGAAACUUGAGAACAAAGCCAUCUGGACUGACAGACACCCCAGUAGCCCAGCCCUCGGAGGCACAGGAACCAUGAAAGAUGAGGCUCUGGUUCAUGAUGGAAAACUGAGCUACUAAGCCCAUGUUAUGCAGCCAGGCUACUACGUAACCCCCAUGCUCCUCCCCAAGCAGGGGAGAGGUUUACUCUUCAGAGAAACUGAGAAGGGGCUGCAGACCCAGGAAACAGGCACCAUGGAGAACAGAGCUCAGGGCAAGGGGCACCCAGAACACCAACCACACGUCCACCUCCACAGGCAGGAGAUUCAAGGGUUCUUCUCUGGAGAAAACCAACCACCUGAGAGGAAAACCAUCUACAUAAUGACAGUUGUGUGCAGGGUUCCAACAAAAAAAGAUAGCUCAAAAUCUGUUCUCCUAAAGAAAAGCUCAUCAACCAACUACCCCACCUAUGCAUGCUGAGCUGCACGGCACAGGGCAUCUGCAGCACAUGCACGUAGAACUUUCGACCUGUCCAAUAUGGAUAUACUCUAAAAGCUGACAGCCAUCUGGGGAAAGCCCCUGACAAGAAAGGCAGGGUUAACACAAACACAAAAAGAACUUGGAGGUGAGGGGAUAGGCAGGGAAAAUAAAAAGAACUUCAAAAGUCCUGUUAUAUUUGGCCAGGUGCGGUGGCUCAUGCCCGUAAUCCCAGCACUUUGGGAGGCCAAGAUGGGCGGAUCACAAGGUCAGGAGAUCAAGACCAUCCUGGCUAACACAGUGAAACCCUGUCUCUACUAAAAAUACAAAAAAUCAGCCGGGCGUGGUGGUGGGUGCCUGUAGUCCCAGCUACUCGGGAGGCUGAGGCAGGAGAAUGGUGUGAACCCGGGAGGCGGAGCUUGCAGUGAGCUGAGAUCGCACCACUGUGCUCCAGCCUGGGCGACAGAGCAAGACUCCGUCUCAAAAAAAAAAAAAAAAAAAUCCUGUUAUAUUCUUAAAGAAUGUUAAUUAAAGUAUGUUAAGAUAGUGCAUCCAUGAAACAAGAACAGAAUGCUAUGUGAAGGAAAUAAUCAGAAACUAGAAAGGUCUUAGAAAUUACAUGGUCAUAAAAAUUAAAGAAUUCAACAGAGAAUUUAGAAGACAGUCGAGCAAAUACCACAGAAAGGAGAACCAAAAAUAAAAACAGAAAAUAGGAAAGACAAGGAAAUUUGAGAUGCUGUCCAAAACAGCAUUCCAGAAAUAAAGAACAGAGAAUAUACAAAGAAGGAAAGUAUCAAAGAAAUAUUGGAAGAAACUACACAAGCAUGAGUUUCUACCUUGAAAGGGUUCAUCAAAAGGGAUGCAUAGGAGACAAUGGAUAUUCAAAGGCCCUCCCCGAGAUACCUCAUCACAACGUACCGGAAUGCCAGAAAUCAACCGAAGACCUGAAAAGCAUCCAGAGGCAAAAUUCAAUCACACACAAAACAAAGAGCAUCAGGAUGGCAUUGGUCUUACCACAAGCAGAAUGCUGGAAGACAAUGGUGGAAUACCUUCAGAACUCUAAGAAACAAAUGAUUUCCAACACUGAUUUCCAAAACUGGUUUAAUUAUGUCAAGUCUAGGGUGCAAUCAACACAUUUUAGAUAUGCAGAAGCUAAAACAAUACUUCCCUCGCACCCUUUCUUGAGAAGCUAUUAGAGGAUGUGCUUUCAGUAACCAAGAAAGCAGGAUGUGGUAGACAGGGGCCACCACAAUAGAGGAUGCUAGCUAUGCUCCCAGCCUAGAACACAACUAGUCCAGACUGGAGUAGGAGGGUGGAAGACUAAGGGUAGGAGGCCUCCAAGAAAAAGCAAAAUGCAAAUGGUAGGUUAUGUGUUUGAGUACUCAGAAAAAUGGAUAGAUGUCAGAAAGAUAUUGCAGUGAUUAAUUUUAUGUGUCAACUUCACUGGGUCAUAGGGUGCCCAGAUAUUUGGUCAAGCAUUAUUCUGGUAAUAAUAUGUGUGUCUUUGAGGGUGUUUCUGGACAAGAUUAACAUUGGAAUCAGUAGACUGAAUAAAGCAGACGGCCCUCCUCAAGGUGGGUGGGCAUCAUCCAAUCAGCUUAAGGCCAGAAUAGAACAAAAAGGCUGACCCUCCCUCAAGUAAGAGGGAACUCCUCCUGCCUGAUUGCUUGUGUUGGAAUUUGUCUCUUCCUGCCUUCAGACUUGAACUGAAUUAUUGGCUGGGUCUCAAGACUUCAGGCUUUCAGACUGGAACACAACAUCGACUCUCCUGGGUCUCCAACUUGCCAAAUGUAGAUCUUGGGACUUCUCAGCCUCCCUAACUAUGUGAGCCUGUUCCUUAUAAUGAACCUAUUUCUAUAUAUGCAUACUAUUGGUUUUGUUUCUCUGGAGAACCCUGACUAAUACAGAUAUAUAGAAAUGUUUAGAAAGUGAUAUAUGUGAUAACAUAUGAAAGAACUGUAGUGAACUAUUUUUUCCAUAGUCAUAAUGUAAACAAUAACUAUUUAAAAGUUCAGUUGUAACUACAUGGGGGUGAUUAGGGUGCCAAAGUGAAGCUGGGGGAGUGGUUGAUAUAGGAGUGCUCAAUCCAGUUACCUUACAAGAAGUCAAGAAGGAAUAUCCUAACUGGAUAAUUCACAUUGUCUAGAAAAAUUAAGGUAAAUGCCAGAAGACACUUGCCUCUGGGGAGUGGGAUGGAAUUUGGGGGAAUAUGUUUUUCAUUAUAAGUCUUUUUGGGCUAUUUGACUUUUAAAUUAUAUGCAUGUGUCUAUAAAUAAAAGUUAACAAAAAAAAAAAAAAAAAGGAAAAAAGGAAACCAGGUUUCCAGACAUCAAUUACAAUGUGACUAUACAUGUUAAAAAUAAGUUGAUUAUAGUUGGCAGUAGGGACAAACCUAUUAGCCACCUUUAGCAUGUGAUGACAAGGUUACUUAUUUGUAGCCAGCAGCUUUUUAUCCAGUUGAGUGUCUUAUGGGUUAUAAGCAAACUACAAAGGUAACUAAUUUAUGUAUUAUGACCAAAAUACUUUUUAAAUUAAGCACAAGUGAAUGAUGUAUCUCUGCACUUCUUAGUAAUCAAAGCCUGAAAUAAAUUUAAUUACAAUGCA